rnacentral:rRNA from 1 species
AUUGAACGCUGGCGGCAGGCUUAACACAUGCAAGUCGAGCGGGGGAAGGUAGCUUGCUACUGGACCUAGCGGCGGACGGGUGAGUAAUGCUUAGGAAUCUGCCUAUUAGUGGGGGACAACAUCUCGAAAGGGAUGCUAAUACCGCAUACGUCCUACGGGAGAAAGCAGGGGAUCUUAGGACUUUGCGCUAAUAGAUGAGCCGGAGUCGGAUUAGCAAGUUGGUGGGGUAAAGGCCUACCAAGGCGAGGAUCUGUAGCGGGUCUGAGAGGAUGACCCGCCACACUGGGACUGAGACACGGCCCAGACUCCAACGGGAGGCAGCAGUGGGGAAUAUUGGACAAUGGGGGGAACCCUGAUCCAGCCAUGCCGCGUGUGUGAAGAAGGCCUUAUGGUUGUAAAGCACUUUAAGCGAGGAGGAGGCUACUCUAGUUAAUACCUAGGGAUAGUGGACGUUACUCGCAGAAUAAGCACCGGCUAACUCUGUGCCAGCAGCCGCGGUAA